rnacentral:tRNA from 1 species
GCCGGAGUAGCUCAGUUGGCCAGAGCACCGCUCUCGUAAAGCGGGGGUCACGGGUUCGAAUCCCGUCUCCGGCU